AUGAUGCCAUCCAACCCUCAGUGCACUCGGACACCGCAGAUGUGGAGGGUCUUCCCUGGGCCCCAGGACUUGGACAGAAGCUUCUCAUUAGCGCCUGUCCACCAUGAACCUUUCUCUUUGACUGUCAGGCUGGCACACAAACCCCCACAAUGAAAGUUAUGAAAGUCAUGCUCAGAAUCAUGUUCGGGGAAGAUGCUGGAGGUGUCUGUGAUGAAGCCAUCAGUUUAGAAGUUCAAAAAAACUGUACUAAGAAAAUAGCUUCUUUGAGCUUGAUCUUAUGAAGAGAAACACAUCCAAGAAGGUCAUAGACUUGAGAAGACAAUGAGGCCACCUCCAGAGAAGAACUGCAGGCACUGUCUCAG